rnacentral:lncRNA from 1 species
UCCUCACUCUGAGAGGCAGGGACUAUCUUCCUCUUCUUCGAAUCCAGGCAGGACCGUGACACAGCAGUUUAGCCAUGCUUCUAACCUUAACUCUAAGGUUAGGUCCUACGAGUCAGCACAGCUGCUGCCAGGCGUGCUUGGGAUGAUCACUCUUGGGACCCAGCUCCCACGCUGUGAGGAAAUUUAGGCCACGUGGAGAGGCCACAGUGUUCCAUUAUGUGGGCGUUUCAGGCAAAAGUUCAACAGCCUCAACAUCACUAGCCAGAUAUUCAUAGGGGAGAAUACAAGGAACAAUGAGAUGAACUGCCUUGGAGAAAGAGCUAUGAUGACAAGUCAUGGAUAUGUACAAAGAGACACAGUUUAGCUCAUAUUGCCUAGGCUGGAGUGCAAUGGUGCAAUCUUGGCUCACUGCAACCUCUGCCUUCCGGGUUCAAGCUGUUCUUCUGCCUCAGUUGCUGUAUUGAACGCAGAGGAACAGACUCACCGCUAGACCUUCAUUCUACUGGAUUUUACAAAACCGAUAUUCAAUUUCCAGCUCAGCUUUGAUAGUAAUAUUUCAAAUGAUAAGGAACAGGAAGUGUUGCAACAAGUUCUCCUGACGAUAAGGUCCUGUGCGCCUAGAAUGUACUGAAAAAGUAGGUGGCCGUGUCUUUGAUAUGGUUGACAAGGUGCAUCCGACUACUGUUUCCUUCUGUUCUGCCCAAUAAUUCCCAUCAGUGAAGUCAGGCCCAAAAUAAAUAAAGCUGUUUUUUAUAAACUAUUAUUAAAGGGCAUUUCCACUACCUGAGAAGGAAGAGAAGAC